rnacentral:misc_RNA from 1 species
GUUAACCACAACCCAUCGAUCAAUGCAAGUGGUUUUGAAAAGAGUCUUGUAAUUGAAGUUCCACCGACCAUUCGUAGGGAGAAAGUCUUCCUUGUUUCCUACCCUCAACAUUGGAGUUCCAAGUACGCGACCGUCAACUUGCAUCAUUUGUCUUUCUAUAGAAACACCACUUGCAGAAAGCAAAGAAUCAUCAUCGCAACGGUAGUUUCUCACAGCAUCAAUCACAGUUCGUUUUCUAUUUUGAGGGUUUUGUCUAGAAUUUGCAACCAAAGAUGCUCUUAGAGUUGGGGAUAGAGCUUUUGUACAG